rnacentral:rRNA from 1 species
GACGAACGCUGGCGGCGUGCCUAACACAUGCAAGUCGAACGGAACUGUUUUGAAAGAUUUCUUCGGAAUGAAUUUGAUUUAGUUUAGUGGCGGACGGGUGAGUAACGCGUGAGUAACCUGCCUUCAAGAGGGGAAUAACAUUCUGAAAAGAAUGCUAAUACCGCAUGACAUGUCGGAACCACAUGGUUUUGAUAUCAAAGAUUUUAUCGCUUGAAGAUGGACUCGCGUCCGAUUAGUUAGUUGGUGAGGUAACGGCUCACCAAGACCGCGAUCGGUAGCCGGACUGAGAGGUUGAACGGCCACAUUGGGACUGAGACACGGCCCAGACUCCUACGGGAGGUAGCAGUGGGGGAUAUUGCGCAAUGGGGGCAACCCUGACGCAGCAACGCCGCGUGAAGGAUGAAGGUUUUCGGAUUGUAAACUUCUUUUAUUAAGGACGAAAAAUGACGGUACUUAAUGAAUAAGCUCCGGCUAACUACGUG